GAGUUGGUGUCUUGCAUAGCUUU
rnacentral:siRNA from 1 species